rnacentral:rRNA from 1 species
CCUACGGGGGGCAGCAGUGGGGAAUAUUGCACAAUGGGCGAAAGCCUGAUGCAGCGACGCCGCGUGGGGGAUGACGGUCUUCGGAUUGUAAACCCCUUUCAGUAGGGACGAAGCGCAAGUGACGGUACCUGCAGAAGAAGCACCGGCCAACUACGUGCCAGCAGCCGCGGUAAUACGUAGGGUGCGAGCGUUGUCCGGAAUUACUGGGCGUAAAGAGCUCGUAGGCGGUUUGUCGCGUCGUCCGUGAAAACUCGGAGCUUAACUCCGAGCUUGCGGGCGAUACGGGCAGACUUGAGUACUACAGGGGAGACUGGAAUUCCUGGUGUAGCGGUGAAAUGCGCAGAUAUCAGGAGGAACACCGGUGGCGAAGGCGGGUCUCUGGGUAGUAACUGACGCUGAGGAGCGAAAGCAUGGGUAGCGAACAGGAUUAGAUACCCCAGUAGUC